rnacentral:lncRNA from 1 species
AAGACUGAGGGAUGCUGACAGAUGUAUUCAUCUGUAGUCUGCAUGUAGAGUGGACCCUAGUUAACUCAUUUACCACAACUGUUCGCAGUUCAGAAUGAAACUGAUAUUGGUACAGCAGUCUAAAGGAGGUCAUUUUGACCAAAAAUGAGUUCAACUGGACCUGCGACCGGAAUAGUAGUUUCCUAGGCUUAUUUCAAUAAUUAACAACAUAAGUAUUUAUAUGCUUU